rnacentral:rRNA from 1 species
AAACGGCCUUUUCUAAUAAAAAGGGCUAAUGACGGUACCGUAAGAAUAAGCACCGGCUAACUACGUGCCAGCAGCCGCGGUAAUACGUAGGGUGCAAGCGUUAAUCGGAAUUACUGGGCGUAAAGCGUGCGCAGGCGGUUAUGUAAGACAGUUGUGAAAUCCCCGGGCUCAACCUGGGAACUGCAUCUGUGACUGCAUAGCUUGAGUACGGUAGAGGGGGAUGGAAUUCCGCGUGUAGCAAUGAAAUGCGUAAAUAUGCGGAGGAACACCGAUGGCGAAGGCAAUCCCCUGGACCUGUACUGACGCUCAUGCACAAAAGCGUGGGGAGCAAACAGGAUUAAAUACCCUGGUAGUCCACGCCCUAAA